GGAACGUCAUCCGUUUUUUUUUUUCCCGUGAUCCAACGCUGUGAAAGGCGGUAGCACUGCUGCAGUAGCGGCGCCGCCGCCGCUACCGAAGACGACUCCAUCCGGGUCCUGGAUGGUGCUGUAGAGACGGGAACCGCCGUAUUACAGUAACUUCCUGCCAACUGAAGUAAAAGAAAAGAUUUAUAGGUAGUUCUUGCUUUAUGAACGUAAUUGGAACUCUAACUUUCAUCGCUUUACAUGUAUAAUCAACAGAAGGCUGUCCUGAUGUCAUCUUAGAUUCAAGAUUUGAGCGAUGAAGAUAGUACUUUUUCCAAGAGUGGAUUCCUGGGAUCACAGAGAUAUUGCAGAAAGCCCACCUUUUUAGACACAUAUUUCUAUAAAUAUAAACAAUUGCACUAUUACUGUGAAAUUUAAAUUGCUUUCUCCAAAUCUGCUUUAGUAAAUAUAGCAAUUCUAAUUUGUUAACAACUAUCUUCUGUAAAUAUCAUUUAUUAGAUUAAAAAGAAUGUUGGAAGGUU